UAGUUGGAUCUAGGGACGCGCAUUUCAAGCGCCCGUGUCGUCGGGUCAAACCGGCGACUGCGUUGGCGUUGCGGGCUCGGUCCGUCGGUGCCCCACAAAGGUUAUCGGCGUGUCAACCGGCCCGCCCGUCCCCUCCUUCUGGAUUCCCGUUCCUGCUAUUGAGUUAGUGGGGACGUCACAGGGGGUCCAUCGUCGACGUGUUUCAACGCGUCGGCGGUGGAUCUCUGGGGCCCAGAUCGUUUACCGUGAAAAAAUUAGAGUGUUCAAAGCAGGCAGAUUCAAUUUUCUGCCACCGAAUACAUUAGCAUGGGAUAAUGGAAUAGGACCCUGUCCUCCUAUUUUCAGUUGGUUUUGGCAGCGCGAGGACUAGGGUAAUGAUUAAUAGGGAUAGUUGGGGGCAUUAAUAUUUAAUUGUCAGAGGUGAAAUUCUUGGAUUUAUGAAAGAUUAACUUCUGCGAAAGCAUCUGCCAAGGAUGUUUUCAUUAAUCAAGAACGAAAGUUAGGGGAUCGAAGACGAUCAGAUACCGUCGGAGUUCCUAACAUAAACGAUGCCGACCAGCGAUUAGGAGACGUUGAAUACAAAACACCACCAUCGGCGCGGUCGUCCUUGGCGUUCGUGUUCACGCACGAGCGCGAGGGCGGCUUAGCCCGAUGGCACCGGUGAAUGACUCCCCUAGCAGCUUGUGAGAAAUCAUAAGUCUUUGGGUUCCGGGGGGAGUAUGGUCGCAAGGCUGAAACUUAAAGGAAUUGAC
rnacentral:rRNA from 1 species